UGUGGAGGGCACUAUAUAAGUACAAGUUGCUGUUGUUGUUGUGCUAUUGCUUUUCCAGUAUGAUUGCUGCUCCUGUGGCUGUUUCAUGUCCAUUGGGAUGCAAUAGUCUCUACCCCCUACUAAUUUUCCAACACCAGAGAGGUAGUAAGGGGAACUUCAAUCUGCAGUCAAUGGAAUCUAUCAUGUGAAUGUCAUUACCAGCAGCUUUAUUUUCAUUCUACGUUUGUGAUGCAAUUUCUGAUUUUAAGUACCUUAAAAAAAUUAUGAUGGUAGCAAUUGACAUGUGAUAGAGGUGACUGUCCCACAUUUGAGAAUUUUAAAAGAAUCAAAACUCAAUAAACAAAUUGGCAUGAGGUGUUACUGUUAAGAACAUUGAAGAGUAGCUGUCUCUGUGUAAAGUACUUUGUGGGGUUAUUUCUGUAUAUAAUAGGAGUCUGUGGGUGAGUUUCACCCCUGGGAUAGGGUUUCUGGUUAUGUUCCUGCCACCGGUGGAGUCUGUACGUAAUUGCCUGUCUGUGAUGGAGUAAGUAGGUCUGUCGCUGCCUGUGAUGGAGCCUGUUGCUGUUGUCUGCAAAGGGGUAUGUAAGUAAUUGCAUGCCCAUGAUAGACUGCAAUUAAUUGUUUACCUGUGAGGAUCUGUGGGAAUGUUACUGUCUGUAAUGGAAUCAGUGGGUUCUUUCCUGUGAUGAAAUGUUGUAAGUCCGUGCCUCUGAUGGAGUGUGCAGUAAGUUCCUGCCUGUUAUGAGGGUCAGUGUGUCGGCUUCUGCCAAUGAAGGGCUCCGAUGGCAAGUUUUAGUCUGUGAGGGCCCUGUAGAUUUGUUGCUGCCUAUGAUGGUCAGUGGGUCAUUGCUGUCAUUGGGUAAUUGCCUGUUUUCAAUGGAUUGUCGAAGUUGGUCCAGUUGUGAUUGAUCUUGUAAUUCAGUGCCAGCAUGUGAUUGACUCUGAAGCUGGUAGCCAAACUGUGAUAGCCUCAGGAGAUAGGUAUCAGGGUGUACUACGGUUUGAGACAAGGUGCCAGACUGAACUGAGCUCUGGAGAUCGGUGCCACCCUGUCAUUGAACGACUAUGCAGGGAAGUGCUUCACUGUGAGGUAAGUGCUUGACAAUGGGAACUAGCCUUUGAUGGACUCGGACGUUAAGUCUUUGGAGAUGUGUGGAACUAGCCUAUGAUGGAAUGUGUGGUGGACUUUGGGGAUAGGUGCCAGCCCAUGAUGAACUUUGGAGGUAAGCACUUCUCUGUGAAGGACUUUACUAACCACUGAUGGAGUCUGGCGAUAGGUUAUAGUCAUGAUGAACUAUAGAACUGGAUAGCAGUCCAUGUGGAGUCUGAAGGUAAGUACCAAUCUCUGAUGAAAUCUGGAGGUAGGUGCUUGUCUGUGACGGGCUUUGUCAGGAUUUCUGCUAGUAGGUACCUGUAUGUGAUUAACUCUGUGGGGUCUAUUUGUUUCAUCCCUCAAUGACCAGGAAUUAAUUACCUAUCUGUGAAUGGAUAUUAUGUUAUUAUAUUAUGAACUAUGUUAUCAAAAUGUUGCAAUUUUAAUUUAGAAAGUUGCAUGAGGUAAAUAUUACUUAGAGUUAAUUCUUCAAGCUCUGAAUUGUCUUGAGAACGAAAUCAGCUCUUAGUUAAAUUAGUUAACUGUCAGCAUUUGCUAUUAACUGUGAAAUAUAGGCUCAGUGGAAAGAUCAUUCUGCUUUUUAGAAUAGCCCAGUGAAAGAGUACUUUCCAUGAAAUUCUUUGACGGUUUUAAUAGAUUUUCUUAUUAAAUGCGGACAAAUCGUGUUUGGCAUGGGUGGAGUACCUGCAUAGACGCAAGCACACCUACAUGUUUGGCAUGAAGUCAUGACAUAGCGAUUGCUGUGGAGAGGAUCUGGUGUGCCUGGGAAAAGUUGAGGAAGACGGUGAACAGUCUGAAGAAAGGUGCCAGGACUAAUUGGCUGAUAAUAAUGUCCAGAGGAGAACGGUGAUGGGAAGGGGAAUCAGUUACCCUCAAGCAGUUGUGCCCCUCCACAAGGAGAGGAUGGUGAACUUCACAAGUGAGGCAGUAAUGGGAAUUGCAGAGGUGAAUGUUGGAUUGGAACCGAAGCAGCCAGAGCCAGAGCUGAGACUGCUAAAUGUUCCAGCACAGCGUCUACAUCUGUGGACUUGCUUGAGGAAAGGGCACCAUACAUAGCAGCUUCCCAGGUGAAAAUAACACACACCUCAAUAUGAAGGAGCCUACACUACAGCAGGGACGAGCCCAGAGGUUGCACAAAGCUCUGCACAGCACAAGGGUAAUGUGGAUUGACUGCAGGGAAAGAAGAGGUGUGAGAGGACAAGCUGAGGAAGAAGAGGAAGUAGAUAUGUUUUAUCCCACUGACCUGCCAAAGAUCUUAUAGAAAGGCGAACUAGCAAGUUGUAGUGGAGGCCCAGUGAAAAGUGUGCACUGGAACCAAUAUUCACUGUGACUACUGAAGAAAGGUGAGGACAUCUAUGUGAUGCUGUGAGAUAUACAUUAGACCACACGGAGCAAAUUGAAAUCGACAGAAUUCCCGAUACCACCUAACAGUUGAGACAGUGGGAAGGGAAGAGAUGAGAUCUGCCCAUGAGGCCACUCUAUACCCGAUCCCCUCAGCUUCUUCCAUGGAUCAGGCAAGAUUUGGGCAGUGUCAGACUAUAAUGCAUGCAAUGCACAGCAACAAACUGAAGUUGUCUGUAAUGCAGCAAACAAACAAGCCUUUCUCUUCAGAAACUCUUUCAAUAAGCACAUUUCUCACCCUGCAAUGGUAACACAUUGAACCGCCUCUUCCAAUCUCCGGGUCCUAAGCAUCUGAAUGAACCAUAUUAUUGCAACACAAAGACACUGGAGACAUUUCCUGAAUACCACUAGUGGAGAAUAUGCCGUCACUUGUGCCACUCGUCUGCCGAAAACAUACAAAUAUAUUCGUCACAAUCUCAGAUCUGUCAGUCUUCAAAUUUGUGGCGUCUGAGUCAGUACUUUAUGGCUCUCGCCACAUGAAGACCAAUGACUUUUCUUUGAAGAACAGAGGCUGGAGUCAUAAGAACAUAAGAAGAUAGGAAAAGAGUCAAGCCUGUUUCACUAUUAUUAAUAAUAAU